UAAUAUGUACAUGCCUACAACUUUAAUGCACAAUAUCCCAUUAGAACUCCACAGUUAAGCACACUCGGGUUAGAGUAGUACUAGGAUGGGUGACCUUCUGAGGAUAAAAUGGUAUAUAUUUA
rnacentral:rRNA from 1 species